CCUACGGGUGGCAGCAGUGAGGAAUAUUGGUCAAUGGACGCAAGUCUGAACCAGCCAUGCCGCGUGCAGGAAGACGGCUCUAUGAGUUGUAAACUGCUUUUGUACGAGGGUAAACGCAGAUACGCGUAUCUGUCUGAAAGUAUCGUACGAAUAAGGAUCGGCUAACUCCGUGCCAGCAGCCGCGGUAAUACGGAGGAUUCAAGCGUUAUCCGGAUUUAUUGGGGUUAAAGGGUGCGUAGGCGGUCGGAUAAGUUAGAGGUGAAAGCCCGAGGCUCAACUUCGGAAUUGCCUCUGAUACUGUUCGGCUAGAGAGUAGUUGCGGUAGGCGGAAUGUAUGGUGUAGCGGUGAAAUGCUUAGAGAUCAUACAGAACACCGAUUGCGAAGGCAGCUUACCAAGCUACUUCUGACGUUGAGGCACGAAAGCGUGGGGAGCGAACAGGAUUAGAUACCCCUGUAGUC
rnacentral:rRNA from 1 species